GACAGAGGGGGCAAGCGUUGCUCGGAAUUACUGGGCGUAAAGGGCGCGUAGGCGGGAUGGCAAGUCGGUCGUGAAAUCCUUCGGCUCAACCGAAGAACGUCGAUCGAUACUGCUGUUCUUGAGGGUUGCAGAGGAGACUGGAAUUCCCGGUGUAGCGGUGAAAUGCGCAGAUAUCAGGAGGAACACCGAUGGCGAAGGCAGGUCUCUGGGCCACUACUGACGCUGAGAAGCGAAAGCAUGGGGAGCGAACAGG
rnacentral:rRNA from 1 species